UUCCUCUUCCCCGAUAUCUUCUUCCCCCUCGCGACCUUCUCCUCUGCCCAAACCGCCGCGCUGCGGUUUCUUCUUCUUCUUUUCAUUUUCUUCAUCCCGAGCCGCACACCCGAAGCUUUCUCCUCUUCUUCUCUCCUCUGCCACCACCACAGCGACGCCGUGCCCUAAUUGGGUUGUGCCGCCGCUGAGAUUUGCUUCGCCGCCACCGACCUAGUGCAGCCGCCGGCGACGCAAGGAGCAGUGCCUCACACCCUGGUGCCCUAGCAUCUUCGCCGACGCCACUGCCUCCUCUCGGCUGCUUCCUUGUGCCGGCCACCGUUUUCCUCUGCUGGCGCCGAUCCCCAAACGCUUCUGCCCUAGCCGAGACCUAGGUGCUGAGUUCUUCCUUGACGUGCCACUGUUGAGUCCUCUUCCCGCACGAGGCCAGCACAGUGACGCCAGCCGACCACCGGCCACAACUCACAGUGCCGACCUUUUCUUCUGUGCUCAGCCGCGACACUCAUCUCACGGCGUCACCCCGCAGUACACUGCCGAGCCUUCUGCCGAGCCUUGGGGAGGAAGGGAUUUAGCAUAGAAUUGGGUAUGCAUGGUUGAGAUCAGUGAGGGAAGAAUCCAGCAGAGAGGAGAUUCUAUUCCAUUCUGUUGAGAUCUGUGGAUUUGCUUGGUUCCAGCAUCAACAGUAGGUUGUUUGCUGCGGAAAGUAGCUGUGGUCGAUCACCACUUCCUCCUUCUUGAUCCGGUUGAAUUGAGGACUUUGACGCGAGACGAGUAUCUCGGAGUCAGAUUGGACCUUUCUAUUUUCGGAGG